CUUCUAGGUCUUUUUGGCCUUUGACCUUGCUGACUCAGUCCUGUGCCAUUUGGUUGAAAAAGAAUUAAAGAGAGACAGUGUGAAGGACAGACAUUGGAAUGGGCUUAGCACAUUCCCUGAGCAUGGAACAGUUCUGGGAACACAGCACUGAUAAAACUCUUAGGGAUGAAUUUACCUAUACCUGUGUUUCAGCCUUGUGAUCUGGAUCCCGCCACAUUUGAAGAACCACAAAAGGAGGCUGAGUGAGCUGAAAGAAAUACACAAGUGGAUCAGCAACAUGACAGCUGCUGCAGUGAAAUCUGGAUUGUAAUAUGUCAGUUUCCAACCCAUCACAUACAAUCCAGACAGAGACAUAGCUUUUUGUCUGCCUCGUUGUGAUUUCCCUGUCUGGUGCGGUUUGGGUCACAUCUGUUGGCUGCAUUCUCAUCUUCAUGAGAUCUGCAUUGACUGAUAGUUUAAACCCCAUGUUUAUCUAUGUCUGCGGCUCUUAUUUCUCUCACAGGGAAGUCUCCAGAGAAGCCCAGUAUCCCCUGAUGUGAGAAUCUUGCUUGGUUUUAUUAAUCAACAGCCAGUGCCCACAUUCAGGCAGUUCUGUAUGUUUCAUGCUAGGAUAUUGGGUGUGUUUGUUACAUAUGUCUUUCAACAUUUAUUAUAUCAGAAAAAAUUUGAUAAAAACAUAAACCUACUUCCUGAAUAUAUCACACUGAUUUAAAACAGAACUUCUCACGAUGAACAACCCAAGCUCACUGUUUCUUUGACUUUUGCAUAUUUUCUACUCGUGCAUUAUUCUGUCAUUUCAUGAUAAAAUGAUUGAAAAACACUGCUUUAACCCUCCAAACUUGGCUAGUGGCUAUAUAAGGAUUUAAACUUCAGCAUGCCUGUCUAUGCUCAAGCCUUGGAAAUCCUUUUGCAUUUCAACCAUUGCUAAUGUUUCAUAUCUGCACAUUGAAUCUAACCCUUGAUUUCUUUUGUAGACAUAUGUAAUCUGAAGGCAUGCAACAUUUUGCAAAUGUUGGCCCAUAUUUUUAUUUCAUAAGGUCUUAUUUGGUCUGUCGACCAAGUUUUGAUUACUUCCAUAUUGCUCUUAAUUGCCUUAAUAUCCCCAAAGACUUUCCUAUUCUGUGCAUCCCUUUAUCUUUGCUUCUUUUAUCUCUUGCUGUGAGAGUACAAAAUUGCUGACAUAUUCAAUGUAUUUAAAUUCUGAGUGUUGCAGAAGAGUUUUCAAAUCUGUUUUAAUUUUCUGAUACUCAGCUGAGGACCAUUACACAUUCUGUUCAGCUAAUCUGUUUUUAAUCAUAUCUGUAAAUGCUAAAGUUGUACAUGAGAGAAAUGAUGCAUAAAGUAAAACCAGACCAAGUGUACUUUCGCAUAUGUAAAACUAAAUUCUUACUUUCUUCCACUUACAAGUUUUAUUUUCCUAUAGUCGUGUAGUCUUGACUUACACCAGAAUUUAUCUGCCAAGAGUUUAUGGUACUGUAGUGAAAAAAUCCCGACUUUUUCAUGUUUAAAAUAUUUAUCGAUUAGUACUUAUCCCCUUGCUAUCAUAAUAAAAUUUGAUGAACGUAAAUGUACUUUUAAUUCCAUUUCAUAAUGUAUCAGCUAAGAUAUAUUCAGUCAUAAAUAACUAAUAAUUGCAUUAAUAGUGGUAUUGGCCAUAAAGACAGUUGCUAACUUAACAUAAAU
rnacentral:lncRNA from 10 species